rnacentral:misc_RNA from 1 species
AAAAUUCAUGGUCUUACAGCUCCUGCUGACAGUUUGCACCAUGUUCAGACCCUGCAUGAGCCAAUUGGUGUUGCAGGACAGAUAAUACCCUGGAAUUUUCCGUUAUUAAUGUUCGCCUGGAAAGUUGGCCCUGCACUUGCUUGUGGUAACACUGUCGUACUAAAACCAGCAGAACAAACACCACUCUCUGCCCUGUAUGUGUCAAAGUUAUUCCAUGAGGUUGGACUUCCCCCUGGAGUCUUAAAUGUCAUUCCUGG